UACGAAGGGGGCUAGCGUUGCUCGGAAUCACUGGGCGUAAAGCGCACGUAGGCGGCUUUGCAAGUUAGAGGUGAAAGCCCGGGGCUCAACUCCGGAAUUGCCUUUAAAACUGCAUCGCUAGAAUUGUGGAGAGGUAAGUGGAAUUCCGAGUGUAGAGGUGAAAUUCGUAGAUAUUCGGAAGAACACCAGUGGCGAAGGCGACUACCUGGCCUGUUCUUGACGCUGAGGCGCGAAAGCUAGGGGAGCAAACGGG
rnacentral:rRNA from 1 species